CUCUUUGCUUUGUUUUGAAUGAUCCCUUUCUGGAUUAUUCUGCUGGUUAGCAAUUUCAUCACUCACUCCCCAUACCGAGUUGCCUACGCAUAUUGGGUUAAACCAGAGAAAAGUGUUUUCUAUGGAAGUUAAAAAAAAAACGUAAAUAAUAGCACUUUGAUCUCAUUUAACCUAUUUCUAUGAUACCUAAGUUAUCCCAUCAAAGUGGAAAACAUUUCAUUUUUCUGAUUAGAAAUUCUGGUUAACUGGUUGCCCCACAUGGGUAGUGGUGCCAGGCAGAGCUACAAGGACCCUGAGCAAUACUUUCACAUGAGCAGGAAUUGGUUGAUUUUUACUUCAGUAUUUUUCGAAUAUUGCUUUCUCACUAAUCUAAGCUAUCAACUUGGAGGAUCAGGUUAGAGUAUUGACAUUGAAAUAAGCUUCAUAUAUAUAAAAAAGAACAGUUUCCUCCUGGAUUCAAUUUAAAGGAAUAAGCAAGAAAAGAAAAAAAUAGAUAACUCUCACAAAAUUUAAUAAAUUGAUUGGAUUUGUGAGAUAUUUUUAAAUAAAAUUUAAUUCAAAAUGUUGAAACUACAGAUGACUGGAAAUAAUGUAAAAAUAGAAAUCCAAUUUUAAAAUACAUAUUUCAUGUUGGAGUAGAAGAAACGUGCAUCUCAACUUAUUCCUAAAGUUCUCAAAGUAGAAGAAUAAAAUAAAAUGUAAUCUAGAAAUAAAAGUAGAAACCUUUCAGCAGCUCUUGGGCAAUGAUUAGUAAAUGGGUCAAGUAAUUACUAUUUAAUGUAAUUGUCAUUUUCUUUGUAAUAGUUUAUUGCCUUUAACCUUGGUUUAAGAAAUGAGAUUCUGUUGGUAUGAAAGUAAUGAUAUGAGUAUUCCUCAGGCAGGUAGUUGGAUGCACAUAUCUGAAAUUCAAGAGAGUGGAUAUGGGAGUCCUCCAUUCACAGAUGAUGAGUCUGGAUGAGAACUUAGAGUGAGAAGAACCAAGUGCAAGAAUUGAGUUCCUGAGCUCAGAAUUCAGGGAAAAAAGAGAAACCAGUAAUGAAUUCAUGAGUGCCCAAUGAGACAAGAGGAAAACUAGGAGAGCUCAGUGUAGGGAAGCCAGGAGCAGGAAUAUGUCUAGGAAGAGGCAGAAAUCAACCCCAUUAAUGCUGCCAAAAAAGGCAGCUACAUAGAGAAUUGCCCAUUGGAUCUAACUAUGCCAAGGUCACUGGGGACCUUAACAAGGGCAGCUUUUGUGGAGUCAUGAGGCUGAGACAAGGUGAGACAGUAGUGAGUCUGAGAGAAGUGGAGAAUGGAGAAUAAGCUUUUUUAUUUUUUUUAUUUUUUUAAGUUUUGCUGCAAAGAAUAAUGGUGGUGGCUUGAAUCCUAACAUUUCAACUCAAACCAAGAGCAAAAUGAGGACCACUUAUCUAAAUAUUUAAAAUGUAAGUGAAACUAACAAAUUGUUUCAGAAAAGAUGCUCUAUCUUCAUACCUUGGGAAAACAUACUUUUGAUGUAAGAUGUUUCCACAGGAAGAAAGUGGCAGAAAAGUAUCUGGGAUCUCUCUGAAGAUUUUCUUACAACUGCGUGUAAAUCUACAAUUGUCUCAAAAUGUACCUCAAAAAUUAUCAUUACAAUUAUCUCAAAAGUUAAAAACUGUUACCUUUGUUAAUAACCUGGAAGUACAGGCUUGAGUUUAGACAUUAGAAUUCCUCAGAGUUCUGCUUCAGAACCCGGAGAAAGGACUAUCUGUAGAAUUUUCAGGGCCCAGUGAAAUGAAAAUAUGGGGCCCCUGGUUCAAAAAUGAUGAAGAAUUUCAAGAUGUUAACAGCCAGACAUUAAACCAAAUGUGGAGACCAUGUGAACCCAAGACCCCGUCUGACUGCACAGGAUGCAUGGUCUCCUUCUAGCAGGUGUUUGCACUUGUGUGGUUUGAACUUCUCCCUGGCACCAUCAUCUUGCCCGCCUGAAAAAGUGGCAGUGCCACGCAGAAGAGAUGGUUGUUUUGGUUGAUGCUAAGCCAGGUGCUAGGCCAACUGGAUAUCCAUGAGAAAAAAUGAUUCUGACCCCAACUUCACACUAAACACAAAAAUCAAUGACAGAUGGAGUGCAGACCCUAUAACUCCUGUAGACCUUCUAGCUGCUAACGCACAGAAUACUUCAUUUUCGACACAUUCUGCCCCAGUUUAUCUUGCAUCUGAAUUUCCUUAU
rnacentral:lncRNA from 1 species